rfam:Triticum aestivum genome assembly, contig: Triticum_aestivum_CS42_TGACv1_scaffold_406189_5BL
CAUGUACUCCAUCCGUUCGGAAUUAUUUGUCGUGAAAAUGGAUGUAUUUAUAACUAUAAAUACAUCCAUUUUCGCGACAAGUAAUUCCAAACGGAGGGAGUACUAA